rnacentral:rRNA from 1 species
AGAGUUUGAUCAUGGCUCAGAUUGAACGCUGGCGGCAUGCUUAAUACAUGCAAGUCGAACGGUAACAGAUUCUUCGGAAUGCUGACGAGUGGCGGACGGGUGAGUAAUACAUAGGAAUCUGCCCAUGUAGUGGGGGACAACUUGGGGAAACUCAAGCUAAUACCGCAUAAUUCCUACGGGAUAAAGAGGGCCACUGCUUGCAAGCUCUUGCUACUGGAUGAGCCUAUGUCGGAUUAGUUAGUUGGUAAGGUAAUGGCUUACCAAGACAGCGAUCCGUAGCUGGUUUGAGAGGAUGAUCAGCCACACUGGGACUGAGACACGGCCCAGACUCCUACGGGAGGCAGCAGUAGGGAGUAUUGGACAAUGGGCGCAAGCCUGAUCCAGCAAUACCGCGUGUGUGAAGAAGGCCUGCGGGCGCAUCACUUUCAAUUGGGAAGAAGGAUUAUGAGUUAAUCCUUAUAAUAUGACG